GACGAACGCUGGCGGCGUGCUUAACACAUGCAAGUCGAACGGAAAGGCCCUGCUUUUGUGGGGUGCUCGAGUGGCGAACGGGUGAGCAACACGUGAGUAACCUGCCCUUGACUUUGGGAUAACUUCAGGAAACUGGGGCUAAUACCGGAUAGGAGCUCCUGCUGCAUGGUGGGGGUUGGAAAGUUUCGGCGGUUGGGGAUGGACUCGCGGCUUAUCAGCUUGUUUGUGGGGUAGUGGCUUACCAAGGCUUUGACGGGUAGCCGGCCUGAGAGGGUGACCGGCCACAUUGGGACUGAGAUACGGCCCAGACUCCUACGGGAGGCAGCAGUGGGGAAUAUUGCACAAUGGGCGGAAGCCUGAUGCAGAAACGCCGCGUGCGGGAUGACGGCCUUCGGGUUGUAAACCGCUUUCGCCUGUGACGAAGCGUGAGUGACGGUAAUGGGUAAAGAAGCACCGGCUAACUACGUG
rnacentral:rRNA from 1 species